rnacentral:rRNA from 1 species
GAUGAACGCUGGCGGCGUGCCUAAUACAUGCAAGUCGAGCGAACGGACGAGAAGCUUGCUUCUCUGAUGUUAGCGGCGGACGGGUGAGUAACACGUGGAUAACCUACCUAUAAGACUGGGAUGACUUCGGGAAACCGUAGCUAAUACCGGAUAAUAUUUUGAACCGCAUGGUUCAAAAGUGAAAGACGGUCUUGCUGUCACUUAUAGAUGGAUCCGCGCUGCAUUAGCUAGUUGGUAAGGUAACGGCUUACCAAGGCAACGAUGCAUAGCCGACCUGAGAGGGUGAUCGGCCACACUGGAACUGAGACACGGUCCAGACUCCUACGGGAGGCAGCAGUAGGGAAUCUUCCGCAAUGGGCGAAAGCCUGACGGAGCAACGCCGCGUGAGUGAUGAGGGUCUUCGGAUCGUAAAACUCUGUUAUUAGGGAAGAACAUAUGUGUAAGUAACUGUGCACAUCUUGACGGUACCUAAUCAGAAAGCCACGGCUAACUACGUG